rnacentral:lncRNA from 1 species
GUGGGGCCUGGCACCCAGUCCUGCCUGGCAGAGCCUGGAGAGAAGUGAGCCGUGGUUGGUGGAGGAGUUGCUGCAGCCCGGCGCGUUCUCAGCCCGGCUCUUUGUCUGCCGCUUUGUGAUGGGCCGCUGGCCUAGAAAUGGCCUCAAAUGGAAGCUGCGACCGGAUCCUGGUGGAGGUUUUGGAGCUAGGCUAGAGAUGAGGAGUCCAG